rnacentral:lncRNA from 1 species
GGAAAUUUGCUUGACGUCCAGAUCCCAGGCCUCCUCCUCGACGCGGGCAGGCAGGGAGCAGGCUCCCGGCGAAGAGCGGGGAAGGGAGGGGCCGGCAUGCUCAAAGGAUGACACGGCCACGGAGGCCCGGGUGCGGGCGGCUGCAGAGAGUGGGGAGUGGGGGGUGGGGUGCUGGUGUGGGAAAGCCCUCUUGGCUCCCUGGAAUGACCCUCAGUCUCACAGAGGGCCUCCCAGCCAGUCCCACUGAUUGGGGGACGAGAUGCCUUUCCUGACUUUCCACCACACCUUCCCUUUGUAUCCUCAUUGUCAAGGUCUUCACUCCUGGGGGCCACCCCCCAGCACCCUGGCCCUCACCUCUUCCAGUGAGCAGGGCACUCAGCGUCCGCUCCCCAAGGGCUUUGAUGUCCAGGAAGGGUUUAUUCCCAAUGCCCAUGGACACCAUCUGCUGCACUCGGAGCUCUGGGGAAUAGGGACACUUGUUACCAACUUCUUCCUGCCCUUCUCUCUAGCCCUAGCAUGUCAUGGUUGAUUUUUUUCUUUUUUUUUUUUGUUCCUUCCCAAUCCUCAUUCCUCCCUUUGAUUCCUCUGAUGUCUCUUUUUACUCCUUCUGUUGACUAUCACAACAUGGAUGGCAAUGACGGUGUGACUUCCUCCUCAGAUAUCUGGCUCUUCUCUCCAAUAUGUUGCAUCCUGCCUGUUUGGCAUCCCAGCUGCCUAAUUUCUACUCUGCAUCUUGGGCAUUAAGAGCACACACACACACACACACACACAC